GACGAACCGUGCGAACGUUAUUCGGAAUCAUUGGGCUUAAAGGGCGCGUAGGCGGGCGACCGCGUCGAGUGCUGAAAGCCCCCGGCUCAACCGGGGAACGGGCCUCGAAACGGGUCGCCUGGAGGCGAGGCGGGGGACCUGGAACGUCCGGUGGAGCGGUGAAAUGCGUUGAGAUCGGACGGAACGCCGACGGCGAAAGCAAGGUCCUGGACUCGUCCUGACGCUGAGGCGCGAAAGCCAGGGGAGCGAACAGG
rnacentral:rRNA from 1 species